CGAGGAAUAUUGGGCAAUGCCCGAAAGGGUGACCCAGCAACGCCGCGUGGAGGAUGAAGGUCGUAAGAUUGUAAACUCCUGUUAGAGGGGAAGAAUAACUAAGUUUGGAGCUUAGUAUGACUGUACCCUCAGAGAAAGCCCCGGCUAACUACGUGCCAGCAGCCGCGGUAAUACGUAGGGGGCAAGCGUUGUCCGGAUUUACUGGGUGUAAAGGGCGCGCAGGCGGAAUGGAAAGUCAGUGGUGAAAUCCUACAGCUUAACUGUAGAACUGCCUUUGAUACUUUCAUUCUUGAGUUCGGGAGAGAGAGACGGAAUUCCAGGUGUAGUGGUGAAAUACGUAGAUAUCUGGAAGAACACCAGUUGCGAAGGCGGUCUCUUGGUCCGAUACUGACGCUGAGGCGCGAAAGCGUGGGGAGCAAAC
rnacentral:rRNA from 1 species